UACGGGGGGGGCAAGCGUUGUUCGGAAUUACUGGGCGCAAAGGGCUCGUAGGCGGCCAACUAAGUCGGAUGUGAAAUCCCCGGGCUCAACCUGGGAACUGCAUCCAAAACUGGCAAGCUAGAGUAUGGUAGAGGGUGGUGGAAUUUCCUGUGUAGCGGUGAAAUGCGUAGAUAUAGGAAGGAACACCAGUGGCGAAGGCGACCACCUGGACUGAUACUGACACUGAGGUGCGAAAGCGUGGGGAGCAAACAGG
rnacentral:rRNA from 1 species